rnacentral:rRNA from 1 species
UACGUGAGGGUGCGAGCGUUGUCCGGAAUUAUUGGGCGUAAAGAGCUCGUAGGCGGUGUGUCACGGUCGGCCGUGAAAACCUGCAGCUUAACUGUGGGCGUGCGGUCGAUACGGGCAUCACUGGAGUUCGGCAGGGGAGACUGGAAUUCCUGGUGUAGCGGUGAAAUGCGCAGAUAUCAGGAGGAACACCGGUGGCGAAGGCGGCUCUCUGGACCACAACUGACGCUGGAGGCGACG